rnacentral:misc_RNA from 1 species
GAAGAAGAACGUAGCGAAAUGCGAUAAGUAAUGUGAAUUGCAGAAUUCAGUGAAUCAUCGAAUCUUUGAACGCACAUUGCGCCCGCCAGUAUUCUGGCGGGCAUGCCUGUUCGAGCGUCAUUACAACCCUCAGGCCCCCGGGCCUGGCGUUGGGGAUCGGCGGAGCCCCCCGUGGGCACACGCCGUCCCCCAAAUGCAGUGGCGGUCCCGCCGCAGCUUCCAUCGCGUAGUAGCUAACACCUCGCGACUGGAGAGCGGCGCGGCCACGCCGUAAAACACCCAACUCUUCUGAAGUUGACCUCGAAUCAGGUAGGAAUACCCGCUGAACUUAAGCAUAUCAAUAAGCGGAGGA